rnacentral:ncRNA from 1 species
UAAAGGUUUGGUCCUAGCCUUUUUAUUAGUUUCUAGCAAACUUAUACAUGCAAGUCUCAGCCCCCCAGUGAAAAUGCCCUUUAAUCCUAUUUAUGGAUAACAGGAGCUGGUAUCAAGCCCACAUUAGUAGCUCAUGACACCUUGCUUAGCCACACCCCCACGGGUAACAGCAGUAACAAAAAUUAAGCAAUAAACGAAAGUUUGACUUAGUUAUGCUAUUUAGAGGCGGUCAACUUCGUGCCAGCCACCGCGGUCAUACGAAGGACUCAAACUAAUAAAUUUCGGCGUAAAGCGUGAUUAAGACAGCACAACAGUAAAAUUAAAGCCUUUUUAUACUGUAAAAAGCUCGAAAAAGCGCCUCAAAUAAACUACGAAAGUGAUUUUAUAACCUCUGAACCCACGAUAGCUAGGACACAAACUGGGAUUAGAUACCCCACUAUGCUUAGCCCUAAACCUAGAUUAAACCAAAACAACAUUAUCCGCCAGAGAACUACAAGCCAAAGCUUAAAACUUAAAGGACUUGGCGGUGCUUCAUAUCCACCUAGAGGAGCCUGUUAUAUAAUCGAUAAACCCCGUUAUACCCCACCAUUACUCGCUAAAUCAGUCUAUAUACCGCCAUCUUCAGCAAACCCUAAAAAGGUAAAAUAGUAAGCCUAAUAAUCUCACACAUAAAAACGUUAGGUCAAGGUGUAACCUAUGUAAUGGACACUAAUGGGCUACAUUUUCUCCCCCCAGAAUAAAUCUUUACGAAAACCCUUAUGAAAUUUUCCUUAACGGUUAAAGGAGGAUUUAGAAGUAAACUUAGAGUAGAGUGCUAAGUUGAAACCGGCCAUGAAGCACGCACACACCGCCCGUCACCCUCCUCAAUCUACUACACAAUGUAAACUACCUAAAAAUUACAUCACCACAACCUUAGAGGAGACAAGUCGUAACAAGGUAAGCAUACUGGAAAGUGUGCUUGGAAACCC